UUGCGAAGUCCCCCCGCACGUUUUCAGCAUGCCCUGCUUGCUCGUGGUGCCUUGUGGGUGUUUCUGCACCUCACUCCAAGUUCCCGGUCUCUCUCCCGCCCUUUUCUGGGAGGGUUUUCCUCACUAUUUUCACCUCCGAGGCUGCAGGGACAUAAAAACUUGAUGUGUUGCAGCACCAUCUGCUGGUUACUAUUAGCGAGGGGCUGCUGCUUUAAAAAUGUUCCAUUCUCACAAAGCCUGGAAUUAUGCUCUCAAACCUACCACGGGUCAGCAGAACAGUGGAGACAUCUGAUGUAGCCACACCAGCAAAGUCAAAAGCAGACAUGUCAAAGAAACAAGGUUCCCUGUGAGAUCACACCCAAGGAGUUCACAGUGAAGGCUGAUGUGGACACAGCAGCACAUGCAGGCUGUGAUGAGAUGUGAUGCCACAGCAAGGAGAGGGACACCGGCACCCUCAGUCCUGCAGCCAUGGAUCAGGAGCUGUGGAACAAGCUCACCAGGAGGCAGUAAGGAAAGGAGGUGGAUUAGUGCCAACUCACCCUUUAUUUGUAGAUAUAUUCAGUUGUGCUUUCCUGAGACUGUGACCGAGUUCCCUUUUCCUAAUAUAAAUUUUUCUAACUCUUUCCAAAAGCUUGCCACUGGAGUUCCUUGUAUGAAUGUGCUUUUUGGUUUUUCCAGCUUCCUGGGUAGAGACUUAAGCUUGACAAAAGGCAUUUGUUUAUACCAAAUUCAGUAAUUUUUGCUGCUCUUAACUACCUGAUGGGAAGGCUGCAGAUGUGUAACUAACUCCAAAGUCAGUAACAAUUUGUAUUAAAAUUAUAAUAGAUACCCUUCCUACACUCUCCAACCUCUUACCUUUGAUAGAACACGUGAGCAGACCCAGAGGAAGCUUAGGUAUGAGAGAUGAUCCUGCUGUUUGAAUUCCCACCUCUGAUGAGCAUUAAGGUCUUACCUGUUAAGAAAACUGUUUCUCUCACAUCCAUGCAAGAUUUCUGGGUCCUGUUACCUGUUUCUGGGUAACAGUACAUGCUGAACUUACUUACUGACCAUACCAAGUAGAAAUAUGUAAAAUACACAUCCUGAAAAUGUGUAACAGCUCAAUUUAUACAUAUUUAUGUUACCUUAUUGCAGGAUCUUCACACCUUCCUAUGAAGUCUUUGUGACUGUUCUUGAAAAUUAAACAAAGCUCACAUGAAAUAAACCUAAUGGUGAAUACUUGAUCUGCAGGAACCCUUUCAAUGAAAACAGAAUGUUUUAAAUCCACUAUGUUCAGUUCUCCUGACAGGAAAAGCUGAUUAA